GAUGUACUUUCUCCGUUCGGAAUUACUUGUCGUAGAAAUGAAUGUAUCUAGACGUAUUUUAGUUUUAGAUACAACCAUUUCUGAGACAAGUAAUUUCGAACGGAGGAAGUAUAUA
rfam:Triticum aestivum genome assembly, contig: Triticum_aestivum_CS42_TGACv1_scaffold_559703_7AL